rnacentral:rRNA from 1 species
CCCUUAGAUGUUCUGGGCUGCACGCGCGCUACACUGAAGGGAUCAGCGUGUUUUCCCUUUCCGAGAGGAACGGGUAACCCGCUGAACCCCCUUCGUGGUAGGGAUCGGAGCUUGCAAUUGUUCUCCGUGAACCAGGAAUUCCCAGUAAGCGCAAGUCAUAAGCUUGCGUUGAUUACGUCCCUGCCCUUUGUACACACCGCCCGUCGCUACUACCGAUUGAACGUUUUAGUGAGGUAUUUGGACUGGGCCUUGGGAGGUUUCGGCCUCCCUUGUUGCUCGGAAAGACUCCCAAACUUGAGCGUUUAGAGGAAGUAAAAGUCGUAACA